UACGUAGGGUGCGAGCGUUUAAUCGGAAUUACUGGGCGUAAAGCGUGCGCAGGCGGUUCGUUGUGUCGGCGGUGAAAGCCCCGGGCUUAACCUGGGAAUGGCCGUUGAAACUGGCGAACUGGAGUGUGGCAGAGGGGGGUGGAAUUCCGCGUGUAGCAGUGAAAUGCGUAGAGAUGCGGAGGAACACCGAUGGCGAAGGCACCCUCCGGUGGUCUGACACUGACGCUCAGUCACGAAAGCGUGGGGAGCAAACAGG
rnacentral:rRNA from 1 species